rnacentral:tRNA from 1 species
GGCGGCGUAGCUCAGCUGGUUAGAGCGUCGGACUCAUAACCCGAAGGUCGGUGGUUCGAGCCCACCCGCCGCUAC